rnacentral:rRNA from 1 species
AACGAACGCUGGCGGCAUGCCUAACACAUGCAAGUCGAACGAUUGCCUUCGGGCGAUAGUGGCGCACGGGUGCGUAACGCGUGGGAAUCUGCCCUUAGGUUCGGAAUAACAGCUGGAAACGGCUGCUAAUACCGGAUGAUAUCGCGAGAUCAAAGAUUUAUCGCCUGAGGAUGAGCCCGCGUUGGAUUAGGUAGUUGGUGGGGUAAAGGCCUACCAAGCCGACGAUCCAUAGCUGGUCUGAGAGGAUGAUCAGCCACACUGGGACUGAGACACGGCCCAGACUCCUACGGGAGGCAGCAGUGGGGAAUAUUGGACAAUGGGCGCAAGCCUGAUCCAGCAAUGCCGCGUGAGUGAUGAAGGCCCUAGGGUUGUAAAGCUCUUUUACCCGGGAAGAUAAUGACUGUACCGGGAGAAUAAGCCCCGGCUAACUCCGUG